AUACGUAGGGGACGAGCGUUGUCCGGAAUUACUGGGCGUAAAGGGCGCGCAGGCGGAUAUUUAAGUCAGCUGUAAAAGGCAUGAGCUCAACUCAUGUAUGCGGUUGAAACUGGGUAUCUAGAGUGCUGGAGAGGUAGGCGGAAUUCCCGGUGUAGCGGUGAAAUGCGUAGAUAUCGGGAAGAACACCAGUGGCGAAGGCGGCUUACAGGCCAGCAGCAGACGCUGAGGCGCGAAAGCCAGGGGAGCGAACGGUAUUAGAUACCCCGGUAGACCUGGCCGUAAACGAUGAAUGCUAGGUGUGGGUGUCGAGAGGCAGCCGUGCCGGAGUUAACGCGAUAAACAUUCCGCCUGGGGAGUACGAUCGCAAGAUUGAAACUCAAAGGAAUUGACGGUG
rnacentral:rRNA from 1 species